GGGGAUUUAGCUCAGUGGUAGAGCACUUGCCUAGCAAGCACAAGGCCCUGGGUUCGGUCCCCGGCUCCG
rfam:Rattus norvegicus chromosome 2, whole genome shotgun sequence.